AACUAACCAGGAUUUCCUUAGUAGCGGCGAGCGAACAGGAACGAGCCCAGCACUGAAUCCCGCCGUUGUUACGGCGGCGGGAGAUGUGGUGUUCGGGAGGUUCCGCUUUCUCGUCGUCGUCAUCUCCUGUCCAAGUUCGUCUUGAACGGGGCCGUUUUCCCGUAGAGGGUGCCAGGCCCGUAGCGACGGAGGACGGCGGCGAGAGGGACUCUCCUCAGAGUCGGGUUGCUUGAGAGUGCAGCCCUAAGCGGGUGGUAAACUCCAUCUAAGGCUAAAUAUUACCGCGAGACCGAUAGCGAACAAGUACC
rnacentral:rRNA from 1 species